GUAGAGGAGCGUUCUGUAAGCCUGUGAAGGUGAGUUGAGAAGCUUGCUGGAGGUAUCAGAAGUGCGAAUGCUGACAUGAGUAACGACAAUGGGUGUGAAAAACACCCACGCCGAAAGACCAAGGGUUCCUGCGCAACGUUAAUCGACGCAGGGUUAGUCGGUUCCUAAGGCGAGGCUGAAAAGCGUAGUCGAUGGGAAACAGGUUAAUAUUCCUGUACUUCUGGUUACUGCGAUGGAGGGACGGAGAAGGCUAGGCCAGCUUGGCGUUGGUUGUCCAAGUUUAAGGUGGUAGGCUGAAAUCUUAGGUAAAUCCGGGGUUUCAAGGCCGAGAGCUGAUGACGAGUCGUCUUUUAGAUGACGAAGUGGUUGAUGCCAUGCUUCCAAGAAAAGCUUCUAAGCUUCAGGUAACCAGGAACCGUACCCCAAACCGACACAGGUGGUCGGGUAGAGAAUACCAAGGCGCUUGAGAGAACUCGGGUGAAGGAACUAGGCAAAAUGGCACCGUAACUUCGGGAGAAGGUGCGCCGGCUAGGGUGAAGGAUUUACUCCGUAAGCUCUGGCUGGUCGAAGAUACCAGGCCGCUGCGACUGUUUAUUAAAAACACAGCACUCUGCAAACACGAAAGUGGACGUAUAGGGUGUGACGCCUGCCCGGUGCCGGAAGGUUAAUUGAUGGGGUUAGCGCAAGCGAAGCUCUUGAUCGAAGCCCCGGUAAACGGCGGCCGUAACUAUAACGGUCCUAAGGUAGCGAAAUUCCUUGUCGGGUAAGUUCCGACCUGCACGAAUGGCGUAACGAUGGCGGCGCUGUCUCCACCCGAGACUCAGUGAAAUUGAAAUCGCUGUGAAGAUGCAGUGUAUCCGCGGCUAGACGGAAAGACCCCGUGAACCUUUACUGUAGCUUUGCACUGGACUUUGAGCCUGCUUGUGUAGGAUAGGUGGGAGGCUUUGAAGCGUGGACGCCAGUUCGCGUGGAGCCAUCCUUGAAAUACCACCCUGGCAUGCUUGAGGUUCUAACUCUGGUCCGUAAUCCGGAUCGAGGACAGUGUAUGGUGGGCAGUUUGACUGGGGCGGUCUCCUCCUAAAGAGUAACGGAGGAGUACGAAGGUGCGCUCAGACCGGUCGGAAAUCGGUCGUAGAGUAUAAAGGCAAAAGCGCGCUUGACUGCGAGACAGACACGUCGAGCAGGUACGAAAGUAGGUCUUAGUGAUCCGGUGGUUCUGUAUGGAAGGGCCAUCGCUCAACGGAUAAAAGGUACUCCGGGGAUAACAGGCUGAUACCGCCCAAGAGUUCAUAUCGACGGCGGUGUUUGGCACCUCGAUGUCGGCUCAUCACAUCCUGGGGCUGAAGCCGGUCCCAAGGGUAUGGCUGUUCGCCAUUUAAAGUGGUACGCGAGCUGGGUUUAGAACGUCGUGAGACAGUUCGGUCCCUAUCUGCCGUGGACGUUUGAGAUUUGAGAGGGGCUGCUCCUAGUACGAGAGGACCGGAGUGGACGAACCUCUGGUGUUCCGGUUGUCACGCCAGUGGCAUUGCCGGGUAGCUAUGUUCGGAAAAGAUAACCGCUGAAAGCAUCUAAGCGGGAAACUUGCCUCAAGAUGAGAUCUCACUGGGAACUUGAUUCCCCUGAAGGGCCGUCGAAGACUACGACGUUGAUAGGCUGGGUGUGUAAGCGUUGUGAGGCGUUGAGCUAACCAGUACUAAUUGCCCGUGAGGCUUGACCAU
rnacentral:rRNA from 1 species